AUAAAGGGAGAACUUAGGUUUUACCGUGACCUAAAAAAAAAACUCUCGAUUUCCUCUCCUCUUCUCACGCGACGGCGACUUUUGCUUGGGCGAAACCGAAGCCGGCGUUAGGGCUCCACUCCGGCAGCCGGCGAGCGCUCUCCUCCGUGGGUCCUUCACAGAUCCGAGCCCCUCUUGGCACGGUGAUCGCACGGGCACAAGAAGAGGCCGAAAGCUUGCAAGCACUCAGAACCCUAGCAGCCUCUCCCUCUCGGUUGUAAGUCCAAGCAAACAAGGGAUAAAGGAAAGGAAAAGAUAUAGCAAAGAAGGCGACAAGGCGGUGCGGAUGGUGUGUGAUGCCAGAACUAUGGGAGAAACUUGGGAAGUUAUUGAGUUUUCGUGUUUAGUGGAUAAGAGACAAUUGAGUUGUACUUUAUAAUUCAUGUCAUUUGAGAUUGUAUUUUAUUCUCCAUGUCAUUUGAGUUUAUUCGUGUUUUAGAUUGUAUAUUGUGAUGAGUCUGUUCAAUAAGUAGAUGUUUUGGUGUUUGAUUAUA